rnacentral:piRNA from 1 species
UUUGAAUACAGUUCCUCAUGGUGUGGUUA